rnacentral:rRNA from 1 species
AGUAAACGAUGAAUAUUAAGUGUUGGGGUAAAUUUCAGCAUUACAGCUAACGCGUUAAAUAUUCCGCCCUGGGGAGUACAACCGCAAGGUUGAAACUUAAAGGAAUUGACGGGGAUCUAAACAAGCGGUGGAACAUGUGGUUUAAUCCGAUACUACGCGUAAAAUCUUACCAGUUUUUGUAUAAUAUACAGGUGUUGCAUGGCUGUCGUCAGUUCGUGUUGUGAAACGUUUGGUUCAGUCCUUUUAACGAACGUAACCCCUACUUUUUGUUACUCAAUUGAAUUAAUAAAUAGUUUAAUUAGGACUCUUAAAAAUUGCUUAUGAUAAAUAAGAUGAAAGUGGGGAUGACGUCAAGUCGUCAUGGCCCUUAUAAACUGGGCUACACACGUGUUACAAUAGUUAUUACAGUAAGAAGCAAAAACGUGAGUUGGAGCAAAUCUUGAAAGGAAACUUAAGUUCGAAUUGUUCUCUGUAACUUGAGAGCAUGAAGUUGAAAUUGCUAGUAAUCACAAAUUAGUACGUUGUGGUGAAUAUGUUCUUAGAUCUUGUACACACCGCCCGUCACANCCCUGGAAAUUGGUUUUAUUUUAAGUAAUCGUUAAAUAACCUUAUGGAGACUCAUCGAGUGAAAUUAGGAAUUUCAUUACGAGACUAGAAUUAGUGACUGUGGUGAAGUCGUAANCAAGGUACC